AUUGAACGCUGGCGGCAGGCCUAACACAUGCAAGUCGAACGAGUGGCGGACGGGUGAGUAAUGUCUGGGAAACUGCCUGAUGGAGGGGGAUAACUAAUGGAAACGGUAGCUAAUACCGCAUACCAUCAGAUGUGCCCAGAUGGGAUUAGAUAGUAGGUGGGGUAACGGCUCACCUAGGCGACGAUCCCUAGCUGGUCUGAGAGGCUGACCAGCCACACUGGAACGGAGACACGGUCCAGACUCCUACGGGAGGCAGCAGUGGGGAAUAGUGCACAAGGGGCGCAAGCCUGAUGCAGCCAGGCCGCGUGUAUGAAGAAGGCCUUCGGGUUGUAAAGUACUUUCAGCGGGGAGGCGUUAACCGCAGAAGAAGCACCGGCUAACUCCGUGCCAGCAGCCGCGGUAAUAC
rnacentral:rRNA from 1 species